AUUUAACUAGCCAAAAUCAGUUCCUGAAGGCAAUCCACAAGGAAGUGACAUCAUUUUGAUGGGACAACAACAACACAAACACCAGUAAGUAUUAGUAAUGGAUUUUAUUAGUUCUGUGAUGUUUUGUGGUAUUAGCUGGUUUGUCUUAUCUUAAAACAUGGCAUCAUGUUUAACAAUAUUACAGAAAGCAUUUCAAGCAUAAAAAAAAAACUCACCAUGUAUACUAACUCAAUCUCCCUCUGAGACACAGUUCUUUAUUUGCAUCACGUUAAGCAUCAGUUUUAUUGGCUUUGUGUAAUUAAUAAUUAUAAUUAACUUUAACUACAGCAUAUUUAACAGAAAUAUAGGCAUUGCCUGUUUCAAGAUGACAUAAAACAUACAGCUUCCGGAGAAACAUUCAGUGCUGCCAUACAAAGUUUAAACAAUGCAGGAUUGUGGGGUCCAGUUAGAGUCCAGUGAUGAGUGAGAAAGUUCAUGUUCAAAGUAUGCAGGCUCACUUGAACAGGCCCUUCCCAAUGUCCACAGCCUGAUCAGCGGGGCCUUUGUCUGCAGACAGAAUGUAUUAAUCAGAGAGUUUCAAACUGGAUGAAUAUGAUAAUGGGAGAAAUUAGUUUCUUUCCAAGGUCUCCUAUCAAAGGAAACUAAAAUGUUACCUCCACCCUCUUUCUGGCCUUUUGCACCUCCUGCCUUUUUCUUGUCUCCUCCGAUUAUUGCUCCAACUUUCUCUUUGGCAACAUCAGCUGUAACAUUUAUAAAAGUUAAUGGUCAUGCCUGUACGUUUUAGGAAAAGUAAGCUAUAAGUUACAGAAAUUACUAGCACUCCUUGUAAUUAAUUUAAUUUGUUACAUUAGUUUUCAGGCAUCAAUUUCAGGUUUUUAAUUUUCAAAUGCCAUGCUGUUACUUUCAACAGUGCAUAGAUGCAUUAAAUAAAUGUUAUAAAAUAUGUCUUGAACUUACCAGCCUGAUCGAUUAACUUGUCCACUUUCCCAUCCGCUGUACCCUUGAUGAAGUCCAUGUUUCGUGUCUGAUGUCAG
ensembl:lncRNA